UACGUAGGGGGCUAGCGUUGUCCGGGUUUAUUGGGCGUAAAGAGCGUGUAGGCGGCCAGGUAGGUCUGCUGUGAAAACUCGAGGCUCAACCUCGAGACGUCGGCGGAAACCAUCUGGCUAGAGUCCGGAAGAGGAGAGUGGAAUUCCUGGUGUAGCGGUGAAAUGCGCAGAUAUCAGGAGGAACACCGGUGGCGAAGGCGGGUCUCUGGGCAGUAACUGACGCUGAGGAGCGAAAGCGUGGGGAGCGAACAGG
rnacentral:rRNA from 1 species